rnacentral:rRNA from 1 species
AUUGAACGCUGGCGGCAGGCCUAACACAUGCAAGUCGAGCGAGCGGCGGACGGGUGAGUAAUGUAUGGGGACUGCCCGAUAGAGGGGGAUAACUACUGGAAACGGUGGCUAAUACCGCAUACUAUCGGAUAACCCAUAUGGGAUUAGCUAGUAGGUGGGGUAAAGGCUCACCUAGGCGACGAUCUAUAGCUGGUCUGAGAGGAUGAUCAGCAACACUGGGACGGAGACACGGCCCAGACUCCUACGGAGGCAGCAGUGGGGAAUAUUGAGCAAUGGGGGCAACCCUGACGCAGCCAUGCCGCGUGAAUGAAGAAGGCCUUCGGGUUGUAAAGGUCUUUCGGUAGGGAGGCGUUAACUACAGAAUAAGCACCGGCUAACUCCGUGCCAGCCGCCGCGGUAAUUC